rnacentral:lncRNA from 1 species
UACUAGGAGAGCUAGUUCUACUGCUAGGAGGACUGGAUUCACUAUCUACUAUUAGGAUGGCUUCAUCUGCUGUUGGGAGGGCUAUAGUUAGAGGUAGCAAGGUUGGAUCUGCUGCCGCAAAGAAAUUUGGAGUUUCAGCUAAUGAGAGGGUAAGAUUUUCUAUACUAGCAAGGGGUAGAUCUAUUGAUAGUGAAAGGGCUAGAUCUAGUUCAUCUACUAUAUGAUUUCAUUAUGUUGUAAAUAAUAUUGCAGUGGGUGUAAAUGAUAGGCAU